rnacentral:SRP_RNA from 1 species
UCGCGCUAGAUGGGGAGCUGGCGGUUCCCUGCACCGGCAAUCCGCCACAGCCGGGUUGAAUUCCCCGUCGAGGUCCGGAUCUUUUGAACGGACGCGGAAAGAAGGCGUUGAAGGCUGGGACCUGCGCAGCUCGGGUCUCCGAACCCCGUCAGGUCCGGAAGGAAGCAGCGGUAAG